rnacentral:lncRNA from 1 species
GGGGGCGAGGAUGUUUCACUUUUAACUCAUAUAUAUACUGGGUUCCGGAUAUUUAGAAACCUCUUUGGUUUGAACUGGGCUAAGAAAAAUACUGAAACCCCAGAAAAUUCUGAAAACCCCAAACCUUUGUUUUUAUUUAUUGUAGGAAGAUUUUCUUUGGGAAGUGUGUGAAAUAUUUUGAAAUUUAGAGAGGAGUCCGUCUGAGUAAAGACUCACACAUCGAAUUCUGACUUACGUUAGCUGUCCCUGAAAAUAGUUUGCAGUUAGCCACGGCAGAAAAUUCAGCGAUUCGAGGGGUGGCCUUGGAAUGGCGACGUUAACCCUUUACUUUCUGGAGGCCAACCACGGGCCCCUGGCAACCCGGGGCCUCUUGAUACACGGCUUCCUCUUGUUCUGAGGCCCUCUUGUUCCUCACGCUAAGCUUCCCGUGCUCUCCUUUCUCCUCUCCCCUUCAAAACCUGUCUCUAGGAACGGAUCUCAAGUGAGUUUAUACCUUCAGUGGCAGGAGUAUCUGUAUGGCAGGAGUAUCUGCACUAGAGCCCCAUGAACACGUCAAGGAGGCCUCGGGGAAGGUGAAUAGGGAAGCUUGUCCACGAUUUGCUGCUCAAACGUGUUCGUGUGUCUCACGUCUCUUCCUGAGAAAAGGCCCAUCUGAGCCACCUUCCAGAAAACUCAGAGCUUCUUUCCUCCCGUCUCUACAAGCAGACAACAGCCAGUCUCCAUCCAUCCAGAAGCUUGAAUGCCAGUCACUCGAGUAUCAGGUUUGUUCUCUUCCACAGGAAAAUAACAGAAUGUCUUCAUCUUUCUCCUCCUGACUUUUCAUAAUCUGUGAUUCGGCUCCAUGAUUCGCUUUCACACUUCCCAGCCCUCCUCAGUCACUGAGGGCUGUUUCAUGUUGUCCUUUAUCAUAUUUUCCCGCAACCCAAACGCGGAGAUGCGUAUUUCUAUUUGUUCUUCAGUUUUGCCGUUCAGGGCAGACCUUGCCGAUGAACUAACUGGACUUCCCGUACAUAAACGUAGGACAGUGCGCUGUGCCCCAGGGCACGGGGCCGUCCGGGUCCUCACAACGUGCCGCCUGCAUCACAGUCAUGAUGCUCCGUAACAGCAGCUUCUGGGCCUGGGAUUGUCGCUGGGGGUCUCUUAAGUUACACUGUCCCCAGUUCGAUGUUUGGGGAUUGUACCGUUUUGUUCCUAGCAGAGUGACUCUCAAUUAUUUGUUCUCUUUACUGGACUCUAAGUUUUGUCUAACUGUUGGUGUUAAAACCGAAUGAGGAUCUCUAACGAAAAACUGCCCAAGCCAAAUAGAAAAGCUUAGUUUGCUGUUCACAAAUGUUCACAUCUCCCUGGCUUUUUAAUCAAUUGUGAUGCUGACUUUUUUGGGGGGCACUGGCCCCAUUUUUCCCAGCUCUUUUGUCCUGCUCAAUUCUCUCUAGUAUUCUAAAUAAAGUGCAUAUUUUAUAGCUACUUUAAGAGCAAGCACAGAUUUUGGGGGGGGGGGGGGGUAAAUGUCAAACCGCCAGGGAUGAAAAUACGGUUGGACACACCAAAGCUGGCUGUGUUCAGAAAUGAACUGAGUGGUUAGGACUGAGCCUCCUCCAUUUGCUUCAUUUAGGUCUCCGUGUGUCUUCGUUCCUACUCUUUUGAAUUCUCCCAUCACCUCUGUUUUUAGUCUUUGUUACCUCGCUGUAAAUUGGAAAGAGAUCAACUUACAAUAUCAUUCAGCUUAAAGAUGUUUUUAUACAGUUAUUUCAAAACAUAGGAAACUUCUCAAAACACAUUUUUUUUUAACAUUUCUUUAUUUUUGAGACAGAGAGAGACAGAGCAUGAACGGGGGAGGGGCAGAGAGAGAGGGAGACACAGAAUCAGAAGCAGGCUCCAGGCUCUGAGCCAUCAGCCCAGAGCCUGACGCGGGGCUCGAACUCACGGACCGCGAGAUCGUGACCUGGCUGAAGUCGGACGCUUAACCGACUGAGCCACCCAGGCGCCCCUCAAAACACAUUUUAAAAUGAGUUUAACUUUUACCAAAAAGCUUAAGGAAAAUUGUACUGAGUAUAUGGACUUAAAAAAUAAUUUUUUCGUUUUCAUCAUUUCAUAUGACUGAAGACCCAAAAGUCCAAAAAUAUCAAAAGUCUAUGUUCUCAUAUUUAAACAAAGCAGUUUCACAGAUCAAAACAGAAAUUUGGAAAAAUCUCUAAAUGUGUCAUCUAGAAAUGUGUGUAUAGAAGAAUGAAGAAAUCAGAACCGUGAACUCUACAAUCUGAGAUCAUGCCUUCAAUGUUGUUUGCUGUUGAAGGGGAGCCAAUCUGACACUCCUUUAACACCCCCACCUGUAAUGUCCGACCUGCUUUAUCCAAUUCUGUUCCCUACAAGCUAAUCACAUAAAGGAGCCAAGAUCCCAAAGAAGGGUAGCUCUUUUUCCGCAGAAAAUCUCUAUAAUUGAUUUACAACUGACACGGUCGUGUUCACAUGGAAAUUCUGCAGUCUCUUUCAUCUAUAAUGUAAUUCCCAAGCAAAAUCCUGACAAGAUAAUCACCCCAAAAAGCCUAAAUAAACAGGGUUGGCAAAAAAAAAUUAUUCUAUGUGAUGUGAUCUUUUGGGUGGGGGCAUCACAGUGACGUAUUUGGGGCGUGGGAACUCAAAUAUAAAUGUCCUUGGCUGCCCCCGGCCCCUGGAUUGCUGCUCUUGUAUUUAAGAUGUCCUCAGUGCUGCAAUCACCUGCCCUUUGGACAAAAGAGUAUUCUGAUGCCUGUCCUCUUAGGACACUCUGAGUAAGAAUGAGCUCUUCAGCUCCAGCAGCCCUCGAACUUUCUCUCGUCUUGGAAAGGAAGUGAAGGGAAAGAACAAGGGGAAAGAGAGAGGGGAAGAGAGGGAUUCACUGCCUCAGGACAGCCUCUAUGGGAACUAGAAGUCAGAUCUUUUCUCUCCCACCAGACAAGGAGCACUUCAAAAAGAAUCCCGGCUCAAACAACACAAAGUCAGGUAUAAAGGUGAAGCCUACAGAGGGGAACUAACAUCUACCAUGAGAGCACUGGUAGAAGGAUUAGAGAUAAGGAAACUCUUGGACUUGUUUCAUUUUUAUUGUAUUACGAUACACAACUUCUGUGGGCUACACGGGCCAGCCAGUUUUCUUCACACAGGAUUUUUUUUUUUAAUGUUUGUUUUUGAGAGAUAGAGACAGAGCACGAGCAGAGGAGGGACAGAGAGAGAGAGGGAGACACAGAAUCCGAAGCAGACUCCAGGCUCUGCGCUGUCAGCAAGAGCCCGAUGCAGGGCUCGAACUCGGGAAUGGCGAGAUCAUGGCCUAGGCCGACAUUGGACGCUCAACUGACUGAGCCACCCAGAUGCCCCUACGCAGGAUUUUCUUACUGGCAAUCUAUUUGAGCCACCCUUUAAGUACAAUGGGGACAAAACAUUGUCAUCUUCCUGAAAAAUGAUAGGAGAAAUUAAGAGACAUGAAACUGAAAUCUGAUCAGAA